rnacentral:rRNA from 1 species
UACGUAGGUGGCGAGCGUUGUCCGGAUUUACUGGGCGUAAAGAGCGCGCAGGCGGUCGAAUAAGUCGAAUGUGAAAGCCCCCGGCUCAACUGGGGAGGGUCAUUCGAUACUGCUCGACUUGAAGGCAGGAGAGGGAAGUGGAAUUCCCGGUGUAGUGGUGAAAUGCGUAGAUAUCGGGAGGAACACCAGUGGCGAAGGCGACUUCCUGGCCUGUUCUUGACGCUGAGGCGCGAAAGCUGGGGGAGCAAACGGG